rnacentral:misc_RNA from 1 species
AAAUGUUUUUUUUUUUUUCUUUUUUUCAAUUGCUCCUUGUUAUUAUUUUGGCGCAUACUGUGCUGUGCUAUCGUUGUGUUGUGUCCCGGGUGAUGUUAGAACUUCUCUGCAAGCUGACAGUUUGAGAAAGUAUAGGGUGUAACUCGAGCAGACUUUAAGAUUGUAUUAGCAAGUCAACUGUUUGGAGAUGGAAGGGUAGAAUAGUAAUUUGACUUUUGUUUGUAUAUUUAGUUAUUUAUCUAUCUUCUAACCGGUUGCGCAGAUGGAUCCUUGAGGUGAGGUCCGCAUUCAGUAGUGACGUGGAAGGGUUUAGGAGGAUUAUUAGAAUUAUU